rnacentral:rRNA from 1 species
UACGAAGGGGGCUAGCGUUGUUUGGAAUUACUGGGCGUAAAGCGCACGUAGGCGGACUAUUAAGUCAGGGGUGAAAUCCCGGGGCUCAACCCCGGAACUGCCUUUGAUACUGGUAGUCUCGAGUCCGGAAGAGGUGAGUGGAAUUCCGAGUGUAGAGGUGAAAUUCGUAGAUAUUCGGAGGAACUCCGGUGGCGAAGGCGGCACGCUGGACCUCUUCUGACGCUGAGGCGCGAAAGCCAGGGGAGCAAACGGG